CAGUUGUGCAAAAGAAUCAAAACAAAGAUGACUCAGCGACUCAGAAGGGUUUAAACCACCUGAAGACGACCGGUUCUCGUUCUCCGUGGUCGAGAGAGAGAGUGUGAAAAUAUUGUUUAGCAACAAACGACAACCAGAUGAAGAGCCUAAGAAGAUUUCAGCGCGAAAUGCAAAGCAAAACAAAACAUAAAACCAGUUGAACGAUUCCAAACGUGUUCAUUCUUGUCCAACUUUGCUUGUCUUUGUUCGGUUGAGCGGUUCGCUAAGCCGAUCGAUCGUCAUUGGUUAGUUCAUUCGCAGACGUUGACCAGAUAUGGUGCAGGUGCAUGCCGCAAAGGACCAAAAUGUCUAUCUUGAGCUGAGUGCUUCGGAAGAAUGCUUCUCGGAAAUGGAGCGCUACUGUCUGUUGAUUGAAGAGGGAUAAUAACCCAGCCCAAGGCCCCCCAUGCCUUGCCAAUAUACGCAACUCUGACUCAUACCUCCCUACGUGACUGCGGACCCGGAUUUGGAGAAACUGACGACGAAGAAUCCGCACUGCCUGAACCUUUGAAACGAAAAGCUGCCGAUUCCGACAACUUCAACAUUGACGAAGAUUUUACUUCCAAGAAUAUACUCCACGGUAAAAAGAACAAAAACUGACAAAGACGAAAGCACGGGAAAGACGCAAAGAUGGCACUCCCGAAGGAUAUUAUCGAGCUUAUGAGAAAAUCUGGCUGUCGAACGGUGACACCUCUGAUAUCGACCAUUUCGGCUCUGCUGCUGCUUCUGACAGUGCUUGCCCUCGGAGAGCACUUUCUAUUCGCCUCACUCGGAAGCGGCACCGGCAGCGAUAGGUUCUACGGGAAGCACGACUUCAAGAAGCUGAUCCAAUAAAAUUGUCACACAGAAAUUAAUUAUUUUUGAGUGCUCGUAUUCUGCCGUCCUCCCCUUGCCGUUAUCCCACUGAAUCUCCACGUAAUCUCCUAAAUGUGGCAAUAUUUUCGGAUUAAUGACGUUAUCGGUUGUCGUUGCCGAGGGUUAAGGCAGCUUGAAGACGAAACAGCGAAACGCCCGGUGUAUGUGUGUGCGUGUUGAAACGAGCUUUGAUGUUCGUUACUCGGAUGGCCGUCGUCGAUGAUUGGAGCUGGAGAGCGACGAGCCUCUUCAAUAUUUUUGAAAGCUUAACCACAAUUGUUCAAGCAACCGAACGGCGAUACGAUAGCGGCGAUGAUUUAGGGGACGAUAAGAAUGAGUAAUGGUGAUUUCGAUAGGGGUUAAACUGUGUUCUAGGCAGAUUAAGAAGAGAUUAGUGGUAGCCUUCAGAUUUCUUUCUUUUCAUAAAAUGUGAAAUUGAAAGUGAUAGGAUAUGCGACUUGAAGGAAAUGUGCUUAAGUAGUGUCUAGAUGUGUUUUUUAGGUAAAAUUAAUUUUACAUGAAUUAUACACUUAAAAAGAGACAAAAUGUCAAAUAAAUCAAUGCUUCGAUUGUAA